CCCCCGACAUGUGUUGCAUUCGUUGUCCCUACCCGACACAGCAGUAGCAAUAGUAACGGCAUUGACGACAUUACUACACACGAAACAUACGGAAAACAACACAGGGAAAUAUAAAAAUGGAAACAUUCUUAUGGCCAAGUAUUCUACUUUAUCAUGUGGGUUUCUCAAAACUAAGUAAAUGGGGAUAAUAAAAAGAGUAAAUAAAAACGUAAGAGGUAAAAAUUUGGGGAAAAAAGUGAAAAUAUUCUAAUAGAUUUAAAAAAAAGGUAAAAGACAUUCCGUCGGCUAUACUUUAACGGUGACACAGCAACAGGGAUAGGGGAAAUAGGGCCUUUCAAUUUAACAGAUUUUUCUACUGGAAGGGAGGCCUAUUUUGGGGCAAAAUUGGUAUCAUUAGAAAGAAGAGAAAAAGAUCUUAAUUAUGGAAUAGAAAGACUUACGAAAAUUUUACUCAUAUAGAAGCGCGGAUAAGAAAUAAGACAUUGAAAAAAUUUAACGGUAAAUGAGCGGCACUGUCAAGGUCACGCGCAAGUCCAAUACACGGGGGAAGUGCGAAUGGGGGAAAAACGGAGGGGAAUAAAAAGAAGAUAAGACGGAAUAGAUUGCCGACGGCGAAAAAGGGACUUAGAAUAUUUUCAACGUUGGAACAUUGGGAAAAGCUAUAGCAAGGAAAGGAAAAUAAAAUAUAUAUUUUUCGCGUUGGGUGUGGCAGCUAGCGGUGGCGCUGCUGUACGCGUAGUAUAAAUGGAACAAUGAUGCAUUUGCUUCAAGAACAGAAAAAUUUUUAGUUAGGAAACGAAUCAAGUGAAACAAUGUGUCGAAGGAAGCAUCGCAUAACAACAAGUGCAUAGGCGAAGACAGGUCGCCAUUUUGAUGAGUGUCGUUUUCUUUGUUUGUAAAGUGAAAGAUAAGCGAAAAAGAAGAAAGGAAAUGAAGUGAAAGAAGAAUAUAGGAGGCGGAAUAGAAGAAGAGUUCGGGACUAAAGGAUUGCUACGGUAAUGCUAACAUAAUUUCCCUAUUAUUUUAUGCGUAUUAGUACUUUUACUCGCAGUUUAAAACUCGACCGCUAGAUGACGUUGUUUUAGUUUACUUUUGACCGCUAGAUGGCAUGAGAAUGUCAAUUCUGGAAAUAAAUAAGUCUAACUUAGAAAAUAAGAACUUAUUGAUUAAAAAUGACAAAUAACUUGAUGAACUUAGUCAAGUAAGGUUUUAAUUUAUCCAACAGGGAGGUUUUUAUUUUACGAUAAGUAAAAAGUUAGUUUGUCAGAGAUGGAAUGACUUGCUUGGAUAUACACAUAGAUUGUACCCCACGCAAAGAUAGUACUCAGGUUCAAAUCCCGGGGGAAGCUUGUAAAAGGGAACAAAUGUGCGUCGGCACCAGUAUACGGAAGGCGGGUCACAUCGUGGCCUCUCCACCCCCUUCUUGUAUAUUGAGGUCUCGCGCUCCUCUCAGUAUUCAAUUCGUUGGCCGUAUAGCUCUUGUGGUGGAGAGAGUUGGUCUUCAGAAGUAACUACUGACGAUGGAGAUUUGUUCCUUUCAGCUAGGGGAGAGUCUGGCGCUGGACUCAAUCCGUGUACGAACGGCUUUUGCAUUUUUUCAAAAUUUUCAAGUAAUUUUUCCGCAAUGUAAUUAUAUAUUUAAUUCCAAUUCUAAUCGAAUUUUAAAAAAUUAUCAUAUUAUCAUUUAUCUUAUUCCUUAGAAACAUAUAUAAUUAUAUGUUUUUAAAGAACCUAACCUGUUUUUGAGACUAUUUGAACUAAUGAUUUGACUUAUACUGAUUGUUUGAAUUAUAUCUUUUUUUGUCUAUAUUAUAUAUAUUUUUUUCUUUCUAUUCCGAUUCUUCCUAUCCCAUAUGUUUUUUCUUUCUUUUUUGUUUAAUUACUUAAUCUAUUUGGAGACUAUUCUUAUUGUUACUUCUGCCGUUUUAUUUAUUAAAAACACUACUGAGGCUACAAUUUUGGAGAAUGCGAAUAAGCAAGGAGAAGAAGAAGGAUAGAAAAGUGAUAGACGAAUAACAGAAUAAAGAAGAAUUUCAAGAGACUAGAAAGAGAGAAAUAGAGGAAAGAAAUUUUCCUACGAACGAUAAAAAAAAAAAAAAUGAUAUGUCGAACCCCCUUGUAUCAUAUCUUUUUAAUCAAAAAUUAUGUUAUAAAAAAAAAGUAUUUGCGCUACAGUUCGGGAUGACUCAAUGUUGGAUUUUCUUCAAAUACGUAAUUGACGUGUUCCAUUCCUUUUAGACAAAGCUGUCCGGUUGGGAUUGCAAUUGGUAAUUACAACCAAUAAUUACAACCAAAAUAAAUGUUAUAUUACAGAAA